GAACGGCAGCGCGGGGCAACCUGGCGGCGAGUGGCGAACGGGUGAGUAAUAUAUCGGAACGUACCCUGGAGUGGGGGAUAACGUAGCGAAAGUUACGCUAAUACCGCAUACGAUCUAAGGAUGAAAGCAGGGGACCGCAAGGCCUUGUGCUCCUGGAGCGGCCGAUAUCUGAUUAGCUAGUUGGUAGGGUAAAAGCCUACCAAGGCAUCGAUCAGUAGCUGGUCUGAGAGGACGACCAGCCAC
rnacentral:rRNA from 1 species